UACAGAGGUCUCAAGCGUUGUUCGGAUUCAUUGGGCGUAAAGCGCACGUAGGCGGUUCGUUAAGUCAGAUGUGAAAGCCCCCGGCUCAACCGGGGAAGUGCAUCUGAAACUGGCGAGCUAGAGUACGAAAGAGGGUCGCGGAAUUCCCGGUGUAGAGGUGAAAUUCGUAGAUAUCGGGAGGAACACCGGUGGCGAAGGCGGGUCUCUGGGCCGAUACUGACGCUGAGGAGCGAAAGCGUGGGGAGCGAACAGG
rnacentral:rRNA from 1 species